UACGUAGGUGGCGAGCGUUGUCCGGAUUUAUUGGACGUAAAGCGCGCGCAGGCGGCGCCGCAAGUCCGGUGUGCAAGCGCCCGGCUCAACUGGGCGAGGUCAUUGGAGACUGCGGUGCUGGAGGGUGGCAGAGGCCGGUGGAAUUCCCGGUGUAGUGGUCAAAUGCGUAGAGAUCGGGAGGAACACCGGUGGCGAAGGCGGGUCUCUGGGCCGAUACUGACGCUGAGGAGCGAAAGCGUGGGGAGCGAACAGG
rnacentral:rRNA from 1 species